ACGGGUGAGUAACACGUGGGUAACCUACCUAUAAGACUGGGAUAACUUCGGGAAACCGGAGCUAAUACCGGAUAAUAUUUCGAACCGCAUGGUUCGAUAGUGAAAGAUGGUUUUGCUAUCACUUAUAGAUGGACCCGCGCCGUAUUAGCUAGUUGGUAAGGUAACGGCUUACCAAGGCGACGAUACGUAGCCGACCUGAGAGGGUGAUCGGCCACACUGGAACUGAGACACGGUCCAGACUCCUACGGGAGGCAGCAGUAGGGAAUCUUCCGCAAUGGGCGAAAGCCUGACGGAGCAACGCCGCGUGAGUGAUGAAGGUCUUCGGAUCGUAAAACUCUGUUAUUAGGGAAGAACAUACGUGUAAGUAACUAUGCACGUCUUGACGGUACCUAAUCAGAAAGCCACGGCUAACUACGUGCCAGCAGCCGCGGUAAUACGUAGGUGGCAAGCGUUAUCCGGAAUUAUUGGGCGUAAAGCGCGCGUAGGCGGUUUUUUAAGUCUGAUGUGAAAGCCCACGGCUCAACCGUGGAGGGUCAUUGGAAACUGGAAAACUUGAGUGCAGAAGAGGAAAGUGGAAUUCCAUGUGUAGCGGUGAAAUGCGCAGAGAUAUGGAGGAACACCAGUGGCGAAGGCGACUUUCUGGUCUGUAACUGACGCUGAUGUGCGAAAGCGUG
rnacentral:rRNA from 1 species